rnacentral:lncRNA from 1 species
CACCAGUGACACCUAGCAGUAUGUAGUGGCAACCUAGUAGAACUAAAAAGAAUCUCAAUAUAUAGUUAACAUGUGAUUCAGUCUCUCUAUCGUGAGUCUCGACUAGAUGGUAGGUCAUGGAUAAAUUAUCAAACCUCAACAUCAGUCAUAUGAUGAUUCAAUUAGCUCAAGUCCAAUUAUGAUUUUCAUAAAAACUCUUUUCCAUCAAUCAUACUGCUAUAGCCAC